ACGAACGCUGGCGGCGUGCCUAAUACAUGCAAGUUGAGCGAUGAAGAUUGGUGCUUGCACCAAUUUGAAGAGCAGCGAACGGGUGAGUAACGCGUGGGGAAUCUGCCUUUGAGCGGGGGACAACAUUUGGAAACGAAUGCUAAUACCGCAUAACAACUUUAAACAUAAGUUUUAAGUUUGAAAGAUGCAAUUGCAUCACUCAAAGAUGAUCCCGCGUUGUAUUAGCUAGUUGGUGAGGUAAAGGCUCACCAAGGCGAUGAUACAUAGCCGACCUGAGAGGGUGAUCGGCCACAUUGGGACUGAGACACGGCCCAAACUCCUACGGGAGGCAGCAGUAGGGAAUCUUCGGCAAUGGACGGAAGUCUGACCGAGCAACGCCGCGUGAGUGAAGAAGGUUUUCGGAUCGUAAAACUCUGUUGGUAGAGAAGAACGUUGGUGAGAGUGGAAAGCUCAUCAAGUGACGGUAACUACCCAGAAAGGGACGGCUAACUACGUG
rnacentral:rRNA from 1 species